AAAGCGCGGGGUGUUGACAGCGGCCGGCGGAGCAGGAACUCGGCCCGGCGGGACGCGGAGCCAUGAGCAGAGCCGGGAGGGUCCCGGGCCGGGGGGCGGCCAUGGCCAGGCAGCUGGGGCUGCUGGCGGCUCCGGUGCGGACGGGAACCGGAACCGGAACCGGAGCGGGAGCGGG